ACGGAACCGAAGUACAUGAUUCCACGCUGCCAAGAAAAGCGUCUAGAGAGAGAAGUAGUGCCCGUACCGCAAACCGACACAGGUAGGUGAGGAGAGAAUCCUAAGGCCGGCGGAAGAAUUACAGUUAAGGAACUCGGCAAAUUGACCCCGUAAGUUCGCGAGAAGGGGUGCCUACGAGAGUAGGCCGCAGAGAAUAGGCCCAAGCAACUGUUUAGCAAAAACACAGGUCUCUGCUAAAGCGUAAGCUGAUGUAUAGGGGCUGACGCCUGCCCGGUGCUGGAAGGUUAAGGGGAACACUUAGCGCAAGCGAAGGUGUGAACUUAAGCCCCAGUAAACGGCGGCCGUAACUAUAACGGUCCUAAGGUAGCGAAAUUCCUUGUCAGGUAAGUUCUGACCCGCACGAAUGGCGUAAUGACUUGGGCACUGUCUCAACUGUAAAUCCGGCGAAGUUGUAGUGCGAGUGAAGAUGCUCGCUACCCGCGAUUGGACGGAAAGACCCCGUAGAGCUUUACUGUAGCUUAGCAUUGAGUUUUGGUAUUGUCUGUACAGGAUAGGUGGGAGACUAGGAAACCAGGGCGUCAGCCUUGGUGGAGUCAACCUUGGGAUACCACCCUGACAGUACUGAAAUUCUAACUGGCGGCCAUGAAUCUGGUCACAGGACAUUGUUAGGUGGGCAGUUUGACUGGGGCGGUCGCCUCCUAAAAAGUAACGGAGGCGCCCAAAGGUUCCCUCAGAACGGUCGGAAAUCGUUCGAAGAGUGCAAAGGCAGAAGGGAGCCUGACUGCGACACCCACAAGUGGAGCAGGGACGAAAGUCGGGCUUAGUGAUCCGGUGGUACCUCGUGGGAGGGCCAUCGCUCAACGGAUAAAAGCUACCUCGGGGAUAACAGGCUGAUCUCCCCCAAGAGUCCACAUCGACGGGGAGGUUUGGCACCUCGAUGUCGGCUCGUCGCAUCCUGGGGCUGAAGUAGGUCCCAAGGGUUGGGCUGUUCGCCCAUUAAAGCGGCACGCGAGCUGGGUUCAGAACGUCGUGAGACAGUUCGGUCCCUAUCCGUCGCGGGCGUAGGAAAUUUGAGAGGAGCUGUCCUUAGUACGAGAGGACCGGGAUGGACUGACCUCUGGUGUACCAGUUGUUCCGCCAGGAGCACAGCUGGGUAGCUAAGUCGGGAAUGGAUAAACGCUGAAAGCAUCUAAGCGUGAAGCCAACCUCAAGAUGAGAUUUCCCAUAGCGUAAGCUAGUAAGAUCCCUUGAAGAACACAAGGUUGAUAGGUCGGGGGUGUAAGCAUGGUAACAUGUUCAGCUGACCGAUACUAAUAGAUCGAGGGCUUGACCAA
rnacentral:rRNA from 2 species